ACUACAAACCGAACUAUCGCGAUCCGCUUGCGGCUCGAGGAAAGUCCGGACAGCAUAGAGCAAUGCACCGGUUAACAGCCGGGUGACGUUCAGGCGUCAACAGAUAGUGCCACAGAAAAUGACUGCCCUUCGGGGUAAAGGUGAAAAAGUGAGGUAAGAGCUCACAAUUGUGUUUAGUAAUAAGCACGAUGGGUAAACCUUGCAUGCUGAAAUGCCAUGUAAGCCAGUCUCAGAGGGCUGCUCGCCCGAUCCGAAAGGAAGAUUGGUGGGUAGGCAGAUAGACUGGUUCAGUAAUGAACCGGCGAGAUAAAUGAUAGUUUAGAAACAGAAUCCGGCUUAUGAGUUUGUAGUUAUU
rnacentral:RNase_P_RNA from 1 species